rnacentral:lncRNA from 1 species
UACGAAAUAGUAAUUCUAUAAAUAGUUAUGAAUAGUAAUGAAUAGUAACUAUAUGAAUGCAGAAUGCAUGCAACGAUAAAGAAGAUGAGGUAAACAGUAUUUAAAAUAAAAUAACACAAAGUAAACACAAACAAACAGAGGAAUGAAGUAACUAAUACUUCAUUAAAAUAAACUUAUUUAUGGACAUAUAGAGAUGAAAAUACAUGAACAUAAAGAACUUAUAGGAUGAAGAAACAAAAGGAUGAACAGUAUUUACACAGGUGGGAGAAAGCUUGCAGGAGCUUGCUUCUCUCCGACUACAGGACUCUAAAAGCAAACUUAUGUACAAGACUCAAGAACACACACAACGAUGGGACUUUACAAGGACUCAAGGAAAGGAUAUAUACAAAGGUACA